ensembl:lncRNA
GUUAGACUUCAGGGACACAGGAGGUGUCUCUUUUCCAAGGUAUUGCCAGGGAAUCCUGCUGACGGAUUUCUUACUCCCAAGUGGGAUCUUCUUUACCAAACCCAUCCCCUCCCUAGAGAUCAGCUCAUCCCUCUGUGUCACAGGGAAGUUUUGGGCAGGUGCAGAGUUCAAGGCUCUGCCAGAGCUGGUGCUCAGAGGGAUUUACUGUGGUCUGUGCUCUGUUGUGUAGGAGAGGUGCUUAUUAUAGCCUGAAAUCCCUCCCAAGGCAACUCCCUCCUUGGAGUCAGCUGCACGAUCUGGCUCUUACUUAUCACUUAUAAAGAUUUUUAAAGCUUUCCUGCAAAACAAAAGAUAUAUUUCUGGCUUGAGCAAUAAGGGAUCUGGGGAAAGCCAGGAGAUGAAAGGUCAAGCAAGAGGAGCUUGUGAAACCACACUGGAGCAGAACUGCAGGCUGUAGUCAGCCAGGAGCUUGUACUGCAAUUGACAGGGCUAUUCAUGGAAAGGGUUUUGAUUAGAGUUGCCAUGACAAUGGGAAACACCUAAAAAAGAUCUAUGAAAUGUUAUAUCGGCAUCAAGCCAAGAAGUUAAGCCAAAUCCUGUGCUCUGGUUAUUCCUGUGAGUCAGUGCCUUUCAUCACAGCAUUGCUAAAAGAAGGAUUUGCUCGUCUGACUUUGAAGAUUUGGGAGAAACAGAGCACCCUGAUGGACCAGCUGCCUGAAGGGGACAGGUUGGAUCCUCUGCAACCUGAUUUUAUCCAUUCAGGACAGCAGUGCAGGGAAAAAAACACAGCCAGGAGGGGCAUCAUCUCCUGCUUCUCCUCCUGUCUCCACCCCAUCUAACAGCUCAGCAGCAGAAAGGAUAGGCUUGUCUCCAAAGAGAAUAAUGGUAUGUUAAUGAGAGCCCUGCUCCCUGAAACUGCUGGUUCCUGUACUUUGGCUCUGGCUGUGGUGUUGGAGAACAUGGAAUACCAUAUUUUACUGUGCAGGCUGCACAGAUUCCCCUGCUGCGCCAAUCCCCGCGUGUGAACCUCAGCCAUCACCAUCUCGUGCCUUCAAGGUACUGCAUGCUUGUAGGGCUGAAGUCAGAGCUGAGGAGCCUGUCCUGCUUUCCACAAGCCUGUGAAUUUCACUAAUGCCACCAAGGGUUUUAUGUCUGCCAGUACCAGACCCCCCCAGUUUAUUCUGCCCUUGUUCCCUGCUUUUGUAACCCAGAUAUUUGCAUAAAACAGAGCAGCAAUGCCAAGUGCUGGUGCCUUCAUUCCUGCUGCACAGGCUCCAUAUGCUGCCUAUCUGUGUCAAUUCCAAGGAGCUCUGCCAUUGCACGAGGACAAUUUUCAGACUGUGUGUGUGUAAAUUAGAGCUGACAGUCUGCAGCUUUAAUUCAUGGACUGAAGCUGAUCUUUGCUCACAUCCUACCCAUCAGAUAACCUUAGCACCAUGAUCAAUACAGCCAGAUAAUUACAGUUAGAAGAAAAGCUAAGUGCAGGUUUCCAGUGUUUUUUUCAUCAAAACAAAGUCCUAGGGAUAUGCUCCUGCCAGGGCUUAGACAAUUCUCCUUUAUUACACCAGGAGCUCACACAAGCCUAAUACUAUAUAAUUCUUUCUAUGUGAACACCCUCAACCAGAAAUUCCCUCUCAUCUAAAUCUAGCUCCUCUAUCUUGGUAUGAGUCUCUAAUUCUGCAUGUGUUGGGGGGGAACUGUCCCUCUGUUUCCCUGUUGAUCUAGUGCCAAAUCCACUGACGUCAACAGCUGAGAAAAAGGAAAACCUGAUCCAUGAAACUUCAGACAUUUCUGAAGAAAAGCCUUCGGCCUUUUCUACCUAAAGUUGGUUGAUAUAAUUUCCCACUUGCACCUGGUCACCCCAGAACUUGUUUUUCAAACACAUGUUGUUCUUUUGCUCUUUAUGUAUUUGCUUUUCCAGCUGCCAUGUGAAGCUUGUUCUUUGCAGGCACUGAUUUAGGAGGAGAUCCUGGCAAGCAGAAAGCCAUUUCACACUGCCCUGGGAAACACGAGUCAGCCUGGGGAUACCCUGAUUUUCUGUGUCAGGUGGAGCACUAAAGAAGACCCUGCUGCUGACCACAGACAUUGACUGUCAAGCCUAAAGGAUAUGUCACUGUCCAAUGCAUGUUGUCAAGUGAAACAUGGGUGUUUAUUUUCACUUUAUAAUUUACAGGAUCAACAAGAUCCACAAGGCAUGGAUCUGGGUACCUCAGCCAGGACCCAAAGAACAGCUCAGUGAUGGAUAAAACUCAGCCUGUGCACCAGAGCAAUGCUGUAGGUGAACAGGGCAAGGUUGAUGUCCAGCUCUGACUCCAAGGGCAUCUGGAAUUAAAGAGUAGUAGUAACCCUGCAGCAGCAAGAAAGGAAAAUGACUGUGAUCAUUAACUGCACAGCUAUAAAUUCUCUGGGAUGUGAAACUUUCACACAGUUGUGAAGAAGCCAUCAUCAACAUGGGCUCUGGUGCACAUGCACACACACACACAGCAUAUGUACACACAGAGAGAUCAAUAGAUUGCAUAUGGUGCACAUGGCAUAAUUCAUGACUCUUCCUGAAGGCUGUCACAAAUCUGAGAUGUAUUGGUUAAGAAGAGUACAGGGGUAGUCUUUUAAUUAGUCCACAGCUUGGCUGCAUUGUAAAAUUUACUCUCUGACAUUGCAGCCAAAAUUUAUAACCUUUUAAAUCAAAGGAACAUCUCAUAGUCUGCGUUUUUGCUAAUAGGAGGUGUUAAUGAUAAAAGCACAAGCCCGGAAAAGUAACAUGUUAGACAAUUACUCAUAAAAUUCAGAAGUGUUUCUCAGGCCAAGGUGUUAUCCUAUAAAAAUUAAUUUGAAAAUAUAUGGGGCUCCCAGAUGUCUUACUCAUAUCUGUGUAUUACCUGCCUGAUGCUGGUGGAAGGAAAGCUGCCCUUUGCUCCUCUGAGGUGAAUCCUUCCCAGGAGUGCUGUUAAAUGAGCAGGGUUUGGCUGUCAUAGGGCCUCCAGCUCAGGCAAAUCCAUACAGGAGAGGAACAAUUCCUGGUGAACACAGCCAGGGCUCAGCACCCUCAGUGAGCACUCACAGAGACCCUGAGAGGGCAGUAGGGCACUGGUUUGAGAGGAUUUGGGUGUUGGAAUAGAUGACUGUGGCUCUUGGCCACAAUAUUUUGCUUCAAAAGACACAUUUUAUUGUCUCUUGGCUUCGUAGCAGCUGUUGCCAGAUGUGCCCUACUUUUUGGUAGGAUAGGAAAGAGAAAGACAUUAUCUUCAGAGCUGAUUUGAGGACACACUGAGUGCUUCCUGCAGAAAUAGCUGUUAUCUGAAAAAGUUUAUGCUGUGCAGUUGUUCCUUACUGCUGGCUAGUUAUAUUGUAUGGCUUUUUCACACCUCAAAAUGCUGCUGAAGUUGAUGGCAAAAGCAGAGUCAGACAAGCUUGUGCCAGGGGCUGUCGUGGGUGGUGUAACAAAUGUCAUCUCUACCUGAAAAGUAAUUUAUGACAAAAGUGACCCAAUGUGUGAUUGACUGGCAGAGAGUUGUUGGAAAACAUUUAUAAAAAUGUAACCUUCCUUGAUUCCCCAAAUCAAUUUGUUUUCAGUUAUUUUGAAAAGUUUAUUUUCAGUUUUAUCCAAUUACAGCCAUUCUUGCAAUGAGCAUUCCUUUCGAGCUGCACGGUUCUUUCAUAUUGAAAUUUUUCAUUUGGAAAAUGUCUAAAGGUGAAUUUCAAUCAUUGGAAACUCUUUUCCUUCAGAAAUAAUAAAAAAUAUUGCUUAGGCCA